GAUGAAGAACGUAGUGAAAUGCGAUACGCAGUGUGAAUUGCAGAAUUCAGUGAAUCAUCGAAUCUUUGAACGCACAUUGCACCUCUCGGUAUUCCGGGAGGUAUGCCUGUUCGAGCGUCAUUUGUACCCUCAAGCUCUGCUUGGUGUUGGGUGUUUGUUCCGCCUCUGUGUGUGAACUCGCCUCAAAACAAUUGGCAGCCGGCGUACUUGUUUCGGAGCGCAGCACAUUUUGCGAUCCAGAUCAACGUACAGCGGCAUCCAAGAAGCCUUAUUUAACGCUCUUGACCUCGGAUCAGGUAGGGAUACCCGCUGAACUUAAGCAUAUCAAUAAGCGGAGGA
rnacentral:misc_RNA from 1 species